rnacentral:rRNA from 1 species
CCUACGGGUGACUGCAGUGGGGGAUAUUGCACAAUGGGGGGAACCCUGAUGCAGCGACGCCGCGUGGGUGAAGGAGUGCUUCGGCAUGUAAAGCCCUAUCGGCAGGGAAGAAGCAAGACGGUACCUGACUAAGAAGCCACGGCUAACUACGUGCCAGCAGCCGCGGUAAUACGUAGGGGGCGCGCGUUAUCCGGAUCCACUGGGUGUAAAGGGCGUGUAGGCGGGACUGCAAGGCAGAUGUGAAAACCAAGGGCUCAACCUGUUGCCUGUAUUUGAAACUGUAGUUCUUGAGUACUGGGGAGGCAGACGGAAUGCCUAGUGUAGCGGUGAAAUGCGUAGAUAUUAGGAGGAACACCAGUGGCGAAGGCGGUCUGCUGGACAGCAACUGACGCUGAGGCGCGAAAGCGUGGGGAGCGAACAGGAUUAGAUACCCUUGUAGUC